UACCUGCAGCUCGAGUGGUGACCGCUAUUAUUGGGCCUAAAGCGUCCGUAGCCGGUUUGGUAAAUAUCUGGGUAAAUCGUGAGGCUUAACUUCACGAAUUUCGGAUAGACUGCCAGACUUGGGAUCGGGGGAGGUCAGAGGUACUCCAGGGGUAGCGGUGAAAUGUUGUAAUCCUUGGAGGACCACCGGUAGCGAAGGCGUCUGACUAGAACGAGUCCGACGGUGAGGGACGAAGCCCUGGGGCGCAAACCGGAUUAGAUACCCGGGUAGUCCAGGGUGUAAACAAUGUGGGCUUUGUAUUGGAGGUCCCACGUGGGCGUCCAGUGCAGAAGAGAAGUUGUUAAGCCCACCGCCUGGGAAGUACGGUCGCAAGGCUGAAACUUAAAGGAAUUGGCGGGGAGCACAGCAACGGGAGGAGCGUGCGGUUU
rnacentral:rRNA from 1 species